UACGUAGGGCGCGAGCGUUGUCCGGAAUUAUUGGGCGUAAAGAGCUCGUAGGCGGCCUGUUGCGUCCGCUGUGAAAUCCCGGGGCUCAACCCUGGGCGUGCAGUGGAUACGGGCAGGCUGGAGGCAGGCAGGGGAGAACGGAAUUCCCGGUGUAGCGGUGAAAUGCGCAGAUAUCAGGAGGAACACCGGUGGCGAAGGCGGGUCUCUGGGCAGUAACUGACGCUGAGGAGCGAGAGCGUGGGGAGCGAACAGG
rnacentral:rRNA from 1 species